rnacentral:tRNA from 1 species
GACCGGGUAGCUCAGUCGGUAGAGCAUCGGAAUGGCAUUCCGAGUCCCCGGGUUCGAGUCCCGGCCUGGCUACA